rnacentral:lncRNA from 1 species
CCAAAAAUAAUAAGGCAAAGAAGGAAGAGGCAGAAAAAAUCCACCAGCCAAGGCCAGAGGUGGAGAUGAUAGGUUGCAUGCUGCAUCCUGCAUUCCUCACAGCGUAGCAACAGCAGCUGGAGAACAAGGACCCACAGGAAGAGAUGGGGUCAGAGGGCCCGGAUUACAAAGGUGAUAUGCGCUCCUGGCCUACUCCCGCGCCCCGCACCCCUCCCCUCCUUCGCGCUUGGGCAACCUCUGACCUCCAGCCCCCUGCGCCCCUCGCCCCUCCUUUGCACUCCA